rnacentral:rRNA from 1 species
UACGUAGGGUGCGAGCGUUGUCCGGAAUUAUUGGGCGUAAAGAGCUUGUAGGCGGUUUGUCGCGUCUGCUGUGAAAAUCCGGGGCUCAACCCCGGACUUGCAGUGGGUACGGGCAGACUAGAGUGUGGUAGGGGAGACUGGAAUUCCUGGUGUAGCGGUGAAAUGCGCAGAUAUCAGGAGGAACACCGAUGGCGAAGGCAGGUCUCUGGGCAUGACCUGACGCUGAGGAGCGAAAGUGUGGGGAGCGAACAGG